rnacentral:rRNA from 1 species
CAGUCGAGCGGNGNUGAGGUGCUUGCACCUUAUCUUAGCGGCGGACGGGUGAGUAAUGCUUAGGAAUCUGCCAUUUAGUGGGGGACAACAUCUCGAAAGGGAUGCUAAUACCGCAUACGUCCUACGGGAGAAAGCAGGGGAUCUUCGGACCUUGCGCUAAAUGAUGAGCCUAAGUCGGAUUAGCUAGUUGGUGGGGUAAAGGCCUACCAAGGCGACGAUCUGUAGCGGGUCUGAGAGGAUGAUCCGCCACACUGGGACUGAGACACGGCCCAGACUCCUACGGGAGGCAGCAGUGGGGAAUAUUGGACAAUGGGCGGAAGCCUGAUCCAGCCAUGCCGCGUGUGUGAAGAAGGCCUUUUGGUUGUAAAGCACUUUAAGCGAGGAGGAGGCUACUUAGAUUAAUACUCUAGGAUAGUGGACGUUACUCGCAGAAUAAGCACCGGCUAACUCUGUGCCAGCAGCCGCGGUAAUACAGAGGGUGCGAGCGUUAAUCGGAUUUACUGGGCGUAAAGCGUGCGUAGGCGGCUGAUUAAGUCGGAUGUGAAAUCCCUGAGCUUAACUUAGGAAUUGCAUUCGAUACUGGUCAGCUAGAGUAUGGGAGAGGAUGGUAGAAUUCCAGGUGUAGCGGUGAAAUGCGUAGAGAUCUGGAGGAAUACCGAUGGCGAAGGCAGCCAUCUGGCCUAAUACUGACGCUGAGGUACGAAAGCAUGGGGAGCAAACAGGAUUAGAUACCCUGGUAGUCCAUGCCGUAAACGAUGUCUACUAGCCGUUGGGGCCUUUGAGGCUUUAGUGGCGCAGCUAACGCGAUAAGUAGACCGCCUGGGGAGUACGGUCGCAAGACUAAAACUCAAAUGAAUUGACGGGGGCCCGCACAAGCGGUGGAGCAUGUGGUUUAAUUCGAUGCAACGCGAAGAACCUUACCUGGCCUUGACAUAGUAAGAACUUUCCAGAGAUGGAUUGGUGCCUUCGGGAACUUACAUACAGGUGCUGCAUGGCUGUCGUCAGCUCGUGUNNNGAGAUGUUGGGUUAAGUCCCGCAACGA